rnacentral:rRNA from 1 species
GAUGAACGCUGGCGGCGUGCCUAAUACAUGCAAGUCGAGCGAACGGACGAGAAGCUUGCUUCUCUGAUGUUAGCGGCGGACGGGUGAGUAACACGUGGAUAACCUACCUAUAAGACUGGGAUAACUUCGGGAAACCGUAGCUAAUACCGGAUAAUAUUUUGAACCGCAUGGUUCAAAAGUGAAAGACGGUCUUGCUGUCACUUAUAGAUGGAUCCGCGCUGCAUUAUCUAGUUGGUAAGGUAACGGCUUACCAAGGCAACGAUGCAUAGCUGACCUGAGAGGGUGAUCGGCCACACUGGAACUGAGACACGGUCCAGACUCCUACGGGAGGCAGCAGUAGGGAAUCUUCCGCAAUGGGCGAAAGCCUGACGGAGCAACGCCGCGUGAGUGAUGAAGGUCUUCGGAUCGUAAAACUCUGUUAUUAGGGAAGAACAUAUGUGUAAGUAACUGUGCACAUCUUGACGGUACCUAAUCAGAAAGCCACGGCUAACUACGUG